rnacentral:rRNA from 1 species
GAUGAACGCUGGCGGCGUGCCUAAUACAUGCAAGUCGAGCGAACAGAUGAGGAGCUUGCUCCUCUGACGUUAGCGGCGGACGGGUGAGUAACACGUGGAUAACCUACCUAUAAGACUGGGAUAACUUCGGGAAACCGGAGCUAAUACCGGAUAAUAUAUUGAACCGCAGGGUUCAAUAGUGAAAGACGGUUUUGCUGUCACUUAUAGAUGGAUCCGCGCCGCAGUAGCUAGUUGGUAAGGUAACGGCUUACCAAGGCAACGAUGCGUAGCCGACCUGAGAGGGUGAUCGGCCACACUGGAACUGAGACACGGUCCAGACUCCUACGGGAGGCAGCAGUAGGGAAUCUUCCGCAAUGGGCGAAAGCCUGACGGAGCAACGCCGCGUGAGUGAUGAAGGUCUUCGGAUCGUAAAACUCUGUUAUUGGGGAAGAACAAAUGUGUAAGUAACUAUGCACGUCUUGACGGUACCUACUCAGAAAGCCCCGGCUAACUACGUG